CGCGGACGAGCCAUCUAGCCUUUAUACAUAUCUAUGGAAGCGCCAAGGUCGUUUCUUCAGUCUUGGGACUUCCAUCUUUCAACUGACAGCACACUGUGUUGAUAUCACACAGAGCUCCCGGCACAUCGCGUUUGUUGUUGUUUAUAUCAUACGCAUGCGCGCACGUCUCACAAGAUUUUCCUUAUAUCAAUAACCUCGCGUGUGAUUGGAGGAGCCCGACAGGCUUCUCGCCUUCGUCCAAUCGCGUGCGAGGUCAUGGCCACGGCUCACACAGCAGUUCAAGAGGAACAUUAAGCGAUGUUUGGUUGGGUGUUUGUAACUCUCCAAGAAGAGAAGACGGGUGCACAAUCCCAAGAUUGCGGAGGCUGUACGGCGUCUCUGAGGCACACUGCAGGCGCUUUGAACCAGAGCAAAGAUAACGUUACGAUUUAAAGAAUAUGAUUUUAUUCUUGUAUAAGGAAAUAGGUACGUUAAUAGAUCCGAUCUUAAACCCGCACAUCUUGUUUUCACAGACUAACGUCGCCUCAUAACGAAGCCGUGACCUCCUAUUUGGUUGGGGCUAUUUUAGCAAGUCCACAUUUAACUGCUGAGAAUGACGACAUUGUUUCUGCCUGUAAGACGUAUUAUGAGUCGGUUCGCCGGAGCUUCAGAUACAAACAACCUGAACUCGCAUCGCGGGCGGAAAAUGCGAAAAGUUUAGCUCGGAGUCGACCCAGAAGAAAAAGGUUGCUGGAAGCGAGACGAAGUGUGCUGGCUGAGGGUGAGAUGGACAUUUGAAAGUGCGCCACCAUAGAUCUCAUGUCUGAUGAAGACGGCAUUGUUGACGGGGUGUCUGGAUGGAUUGUGCGGCCACCGCCCUCUCGCAGCCUGGAACUCUCCGAGCUCUGUGCCACGCUGCAAUUCAGAUUAGAGGCGAUACCAAAGUACAGGGGAACUCACCAUAUAUGCCUGCAAAAGCGACUUUUUUUUACAACGUUUUUGAGUUUUUUUCUUUUUUCAACACUUGAUAACUUUGAAAAAGAUUUUUAGGGAUCUUUCCCGAAUGUCUUGGGCACUUUUUGACGUGUUUGGAGGACAACAUAAGAGACAUUAUGCUGCUUUGUACAUAGUUGUGUGUUUCUAAUUAAAGCUCUUUCUUUGAAUAAACAGCUGUGUGUUUAUAAAUAAACCUCUUUGUUUUCUCUUAUAUUUCUUGAUGGUGUGAAUAAUGA